UCAACUCCGCGGCUUCGCCGGCUCAGGCUCCGGAUUUACUAGAAGCCAUUUUGUCUCCCCCACCCCUUCCCUCCCCUCCCCUCCCCUCUGCCCUCCCCGCCCCCACCACUUCCCCCUUUUGUUAAUUAAAACUAAGAAGUCGGAAUGGGAACGAGGUGCCCAGCUCCCGUGGAGAAAGCUUAAGGACACCACACCAGUGUUUUCCUGCCUUCCUUCCGAGAUGGAAAGAGGAGCUCCUAGCUCACUUAAGCCGGGGUAGGGCUGGUUCUCCUUUCCGAGCCAAAAUCCCAGGCGAUGGUGAAUUAUGAACGUGCCACACCAUGAAGCUCUUGUGGCAGGUAACUGUGCACCACCACACCUGGAAUGCCAUCCUGCUCCCAGUCGUCUACCUCACGGCGCAAGUGUGGAUUCUGUGUGCAGCCAUCGCUGCUGCCGCCUCAGCCGGGCCCCAGAACUGCCCCUCUGUCUGCUCGUGCAGUAACCAGUUCAGCAAGGUGGUGUGCACCCGCCGGGGCCUCUCCGAGGUCCCGCAGGGUAUUCCCUCUAACACCCGGUACCUCAACCUAAUGGAGAACAACAUCCAGAUGAUCCAGGCCGACACCUUCCGCCACCUCCACCACCUGGAGGUCCUGCAGUUGGGCAGGAACUCCAUCCGGCAGAUUGAGGUGGGGGCCUUCAAUGGCCUGGCCAGCCUCAACACCCUGGAGCUGUUUGACAACUGGCUGACAGUCAUCCCUAGCGGGGCCUUUGAAUACCUGUCCAAGCUGCGGGAGCUCUGGCUUCGCAACAACCCCAUCGAAAGCAUCCCCUCUUACGCCUUCAACCGGGUGCCCUCCCUCAUGCGCCUGGACUUGGGGGAGCUCAAGAAGCUGGAGUAUAUCUCUGAGGGAGCUUUUGAGGGGCUGUUCAACCUCAAAUACCUGAACUUGGGCAUGUGCAACAUUAAAGACAUGCCCAAUCUCACCCCCCUGGUGGGGCUGGAGGAGCUGGAGAUGUCAGGGAACCACUUCCCUGAGAUCAGGCCUGGCUCCUUCCAUGGCCUGAGCUCCCUCAAGAAGCUCUGGGUCAUGAACUCACAGGUCAGCCUGAUUGAGCGGAAUGCUUUUGACGGGCUGGCUUCACUUGUGGAACUCAACUUGGCCCACAAUAACCUCUCUUCUUUGCCCCAUGACCUCUUUACCCCGCUGAGGUACCUGGUGGAGUUGCACCUACACCACAAUCCUUGGAACUGUGAUUGUGACAUUCUGUGGCUAGCCUGGUGGCUUCGAGAGUAUAUACCCACCAAUUCCACCUGCUGUGGCCGCUGUCAUGCUCCCAUGCACAUGCGAGGCCGCUACCUCGUGGAGGUGGACCAGGCCUCUUUCCAGUGCUCUGCCCCCUUCAUCAUGGAUGCACCUCGAGACCUCAAUAUUUCUGAGGGUCGGAUGGCAGAACUUAAGUGUCGGACUCCCCCUAUGUCCUCCGUGAAGUGGUUGCUGCCCAAUGGGACAGUGCUCAGCCACGCCUCCCGCCACCCACGGAUCUCUGUCCUCAACGACGGCACCUUGAACUUUUCCCACGUGCUGCUUUCAGACACUGGGGUAUACACAUGCAUGGUGACCAAUGUGGCAGGAAACUCCAACGCCUCGGCCUACCUAAAUGUGAGCACGGCCGAGCUCAACACCUCCAACUACAGCUUCUUCACCACAGUAACAGUGGAGACCACAGAGAUCUCGCCUGAGGACACAACGCGAAAGUACAAGCCUGUUCCUACCACGUCCACUGGUUACCAGCCGGCAUAUACCACCUCUACCACGGUGCUCAUUCAGACCACCCGUGUUCCCAAGCAGGUGGCAGUACCCGCGACAGACACCACUGACAAGAUGCAAACCAGUCUGGAUGAAGUCAUGAAGACCACCAAGAUCAUAAUUGGCUGCUUUGUGGCAGUGACUCUGCUAGCUGCCGCCAUGUUGAUUGUCUUCUAUAAACUUCGUAAGCGGCACCAGCAGCGGAGUACAGUCACAGCCGCCCGGACUGUUGAGAUUAUCCAGGUGGACGAAGACAUCCCAGCAGCAACAUCGGCAGCAGCAACAGCAGCUCCGUCCGGUGUAUCAGUGGGAGCUAAGAGAAGUGUGACAAAUCGGUCUUGGCUGGAAGUAUGUGACAGCUUCCCAAUGGCGCUUAUUCCGCCAAUAAGAGACCAGGCAUUAGCUGAAGGAGACAAAACUCAAGUGGAAACAAAAAACAGUUUGAAGGAUUAGUCAACGGUGUCUACUGCAUGCCCACUGUGUUCUCACUACUGCAUCAGACAUCACAGUGGCACAGGAGGCAUACAAGACCUGCCUUCUGUCCACAGGGGACACUGAAAAAUUCACCAGCUCACCUAGCAGACCUCCACUCUCCAUUUAACUAAUACUUGCCGAUGUCUACUCUGGGCCAAGAAGAUGAGGAUUGUUGUGGAAGAUGAGGAUUCAAUGAUGAAAACACUUUGUGCUCAUGAAGUUAACUACCAGCUAGGAAAAGAUUAUUUUCCUCUACUAUUGUAAAAGACCAGGUACUGAAGUUAAUUUGGAAUAGGAACAAGAAAACCAAGUCUUCACAAUGCAAUGGAAACUGCAGCUCUCUUUGAAGAAAGGAAGGGGAAGAGAAGCGAAGCAGGAAGUGUGAUGCUUGGCUGUUAAACAUGCCUUGAGUUUCUGAUACACGUCAUAAUAGUUGUUCGCCUGUUAAUGGUAGAUCCCUAUUCUACAGUCAUUUGAGGUAAGGGAUAUGCCAGUUCUCUCUACAUCCCUGGUAUUUGGCAAACAGGAGAUGCUCAAUAAUUCAGUUUGCUACAUGAAUGCCAGAGAGGAGAAAAUCUAGCAAAAACAGAUACACCAAACCUGUUACAACAACCUGCUUUUCCAAGAGUUCUGGAUGCGUAUGACUUAAUAUGUGGAGUAUUGAUGAGGAAUUCUAGUACUGCUUAUUCUCAGGACUUAAAGGUAAAUGUGUGUUAAAUGCUCAGUCACUGACCACAGUCAGUAGAAGAGGCAAGGAAGGGAUGACUUAGAGGCCUUAUACUGAAUAUCUUGCUCUCAGUCUAGCCGGGCAAGGUACAAAACCAGCUUCACCAAAUUUGAUUUAUUGUUAGUUUUAGACAACAGACAAUCUCUCCCAAAUGGGAAAAAAGCAUUUUUAGAUGGAGCUGGUACAGAAGAUAACAAUCAGGCCAGCAUGGGAAUAACCUUUUAUAAUUCUCCCCAUUGCAGAGCAAGAUCUGAAAACAAUGAUUUUUAAGGGGGAAAAAAAACCUCUCACUGAUUAACAAGGCCUUUCCUUUCCUGUGGCAUCCCAAGAGCAGGCCGUAAACCACCCUGCCAGGCUGUCUCUGGGGUGUGUUUGGGAAGGGGAUUGGAGAUAGCAGGCUAUCUGCUUCCCAAUGCCCAUGUUCAUUUUUGGGGAUUGCUAUAAGCAGCAGCUGCAGUAAUGUCACCAUCAGCUACUAGCAGAAAGAACAACUGGGCAUGGGAGAGAUCUGUGCCUUUCAAAUGUUUUUUUUUUUUUUUUUUUACCCCUGGACUUCUCUUUAUUAUCCAUACCAAAACAACCUCAUACCUUCAUUAACAAAGUCACAGAAAACAAAGUAUCUGAGGUCAAAAGCUAGAGCCGCAGUCUUCUGAAUGACAAGAAAGCUCCUAUAUGGCUCAAGCUUUUAUGUAACACAGUGGCACUGUGCAGACAGCAUCUAACAGGCACAAAUGCUAUGUCUGAGCAAGGAGGAGUUGGUUUCUAUAAGAACCUCAACUUUUAUUUCUUCUGACUUAUUUGAAAGCAAUAGGACUUUAUCUUUAAAUCAAAUAAAAUAUAUUUUCCCCCUUUUGAUUUUUGGCACCAAAGGUUUCCAUUCUUGGUCUUUUUAAUUCCAUGUUAAUGGAUAAAGAGAAAAAUUUGAAUCUACUGUCCAGGCUGCUAGAGAUUUGCUACAAGGUGAAGAGAAAGCCACAGGAAAUACCCCUAUGGAUCUUGCAAGUCUACGCUUCCAUAAGGUAUUCUGGCACACACCUGGCAGCCAAAUGUAAAAGCUACUUACUUGCAUAAAUUUAGAGUGACUUUUUCUAGACCAAGCUGUUUUAUUUGAACAAAAUGGUUCUGAGAUGUGUGGAGUGUACUUCUAAACUAUUGCCUUUUUUGAGCUUUCACUCAAAAUUGCUCUGAGCUCCUCCUCCUGAGGCAAGUGAAUUCCAAAUGUCUAGAGAUUAGUAUACUCAGCCUACAGUAGGAUGGGGAGGAAAAAACAGCUAGUGUCAGGAAUAUUAACACUUAAGAAAGAACCAAAGAAAAUGAAUAAAAAAAAAAAACCUCUGGGCUGAGAAACUCUUAGCAAGAGCCCUUCACCUCACUAACUUUACUUUAAAGAAAAAGGAAGGAAAAAAAAAAAAAAAAAAAGCAAGCAAAAGGGAAAGGAAUUGUGAAAAGUCAAGGUUCUCCAAGAGCACAGGCCAAGCUACAAACAUCCUGUCCAGAGUAGUUUGGAUCCUGGGCCAGCCGUGGGUCAAGAAUGGCAUUUGCCUUAUUUAUCUAUUUACUUUUUACCAAACGCUAUAGUUAUUUUUUUACCAUACCCAUAGUUACCAUACCCUAAAGCAGGGAACAGCAGACAACUUCCUGAAGACUAAGUCUGCCCACUGAUUUUGUAUAGCUCAUGAGCUAAGAAUGAUUUUUGUAUUUUUGAAUGGUUAAAAAAUCAAAAGAAGAAUAUUUGUGACAUGUUGUAGGAUAUAAUAAAUUUCUCUUCAAAGGUUUUAGCCUCUAAAUUGUUAAGUACAAUGAGUUCUGAGAUCCUCUCCAAAGAACCAAUGUAUCAGUAUGUUCAGCUCCCCUGUUCUUUGUUCUCCAUUUUAAAAUUUAACUUCCUCUUUCUUUACAUCUCCUUGUCCCUAGUUUCAGUAAACAACUCCCUCCUAGCCUCUAUCACCUGUUCUGACCUUAGUCAUCCUUGGUCACCUGCUCUGUUCUUAUUCAUCCAGAGUCACCUGUUCUGUAACUGCUCUUGCCACCAAACUACUCACCCCGUCACUCUGGCUCCUACCCCUACGCUCUUUAAAAUGGCCAGCCAGAAUUAGCUUAAGACUGUGCAGUCCAACCCUAGCCAAUAGGGGAAUAACACAGCAAUAGGGGCUACCUGCCCCUUCCCCUCUCUUCCUCAGGUGUCCUCUCGUCAUUGCUCCAUCUGUGCGUCGCACCCUUCUAUAGAAGUAAA